GCUAUCAGAAAGCUGCAUCCUCCACUAGCAUCUGGGGAAUUCUGACAGGUGGAUCUGAGGUCACAGCAUGACAUCUAAUGGAUAAAUCUAGCAGGUGGUGGAGGACUGAACUGGAACUCAGGAAAGAGGACAAAGAGAGUCAACAGGACAGAGGGAGUUUAAGAGCAAUAGGGAAAGAAUGGACAUCUGGACAAUGCUGGUACUAGGGGUCAGAAGGAGGAAGAAGCACUGCUAGAGAGAUGUAGAGACCAGGGAAGCUGAAGAGGAGACAGAUUUAAGGGUCUGAUGCAAAAGAAGGUGAUUUUGACAGGACCCAGUGACUAACUGGGUAUGGGAGUG
rnacentral:lncRNA from 1 species